AGAUUAAGUUAUUAAGGGCGCACGGUGGAUGCCUUGGCACUAGAAGCCGAUGAAGGACGUUACUAACGACGAUAUGCUUUGGGGAGCUGUAAGUAAGCUUUGAUCCAGAGAUUUCCGAAUGGGGAAACCCAGCAUGAGUUAUGUCAUGUUAUCGAUAUGUGAAUACAUAGCAUAUCAGAAGGCACACCCGGAGAACUGAAACAUCUUAGUACCCGGAGGAAGAGAAAGAAAAUUCGAUUCCCUUAGUAGCGGCGAGCGAAACGGGAAGAGCCCAAACCAACAAGCUUGCUUGUUGGGGUUGUAGGACACUCUAUACGGAGUUACAAAGGACGACAUUAGACGAAUCAUCUGGAAAGAUGAAUCAAAGAAGGUAAUAAUCCUGUAGUCGAAAAUGUUGUCUCUCUUGAGUGGAUCCUGAGUACGACGGAGCACGUGAAAUUCCGUCGGAAUCUGGGAGGACCAUCUCCUAAGGCUAAAUACUCUCUAGUGACCGAUAGUGAACCAGUACCGUGAGGGAAAGGUGAAAAGCACCCCGGAAGGGGAGUGAAAUAGAACCUGAAACCGUGUG
rnacentral:rRNA from 1 species